UACAGAGGGCUCAAGCGUUGUUCGGAUUCAUUGGGCGUAAAGGGUGCGUAGGCGGCGCGGUAAGUCGGGUGUGAAAUUUCGAGGCUUAACUUCGAAACUGCAUUCGAUACUGCCGUGCUUGAGGACUGGAGAGGAGACUGGAAUUUACGGUGUAGCGGUGAAAUGCGUAGAUAUCGUAAGGAAGACCAGUGGCGAAGGCGGGUCUCUGGGCAGUAACUGACGCUGAGGAGCGAAAGCGUGGGGAGCGAACAGG
rnacentral:rRNA from 1 species